rnacentral:rRNA from 1 species
GAUGAACGCUAGCGGGAGGCCUAAUACAUGCAAGUCGAGCGGUAGAGUGACUUCGGUUGCUUGAGAGCGGCGAACGGGUGAGUAACGCGUACACAAUCUACCUUUAAGAGGGGAAUAGCCCUGGGAAACUGGGAUUAAUGCCCCAUGGCAUCACGAGACGGCAUCGUUUUGUGAUUAAAGCUGAGGUGCUUAGAGAUGAGUGUGCGUCUGAUUAGCUAGUUGGUGCGGUAACGGCGCACCAAGGCGACGAUCAGUAGGGGGCGUGAGAGCGUGGACCCCCACACGGGUACUGAGACACGGACCCGACUCCUACGGGAGGCAGCAGUAAGGAAUAUUGGUCAAUGGAGGAGACUCUGAACCAGCCAUCCCGCGUGCAGGAAGAAUGCCCUAUGGGUUGUAAACUGCUUUUAUCUGGGAAGAAAAGUCGGGAUUUAUCCUGAUCUGACGGUACCAGAGGAAUAAGCACCGGCUAACUCCGUGCCAGCAGCCG